rfam:Amphimedon queenslandica AMPQTscaffold_13513_Cont542, whole genome shotgun sequence.
CAACCGGCUUUUUUCAAAGCCACCCAUUUCACAAAUGAUUCUCACU